rnacentral:rRNA from 1 species
AUACAUGCAGUCGACGAACUUCCGUUAAUUGAUUAUGACGUACUUGUACUGAUUGAGAUUUUAACACGAAGUGAGUGGCGAACGGGUGAGUAACACGUGGGUAACCUGCCCAGAAGUAGGGGAUAACACCUGGAAACAGAUGCUAAUACCGUAUAACAGAGAAAACCGCAUGGUUUUCUUUUAAAAGAUGGCUCUGCUAUCACUUCUGGAUGGACCCGCGGCGUAUUAGCUAGUUGGUGAGGUAAAGGCUCACCAAGGCAGUGAUACGUAGCCGACCUGAGAGGGUAAUCGGCCACAUUGGGACUGAGACACGGCCCAGACUCCUACGGGAGGCAGCAGUAGGGAAUCUUCCACAAUGGACGCAAGUCUGAUGGAGCAACGCCGCGUGAGUGAAGAAGGGUUUCGGCUCGUAAAGCUCUGUUGUUAAAGAAGAACGUGGGUAAGAGUAACUGUUUACCCAGUGACGGUAUUUAACCAGAAAGCCACGGCUAACUACGUGCCAGCAGCCGCGGUAAUACGUAGGUGGCAAGCGUUAUCCGGAUUUAUUGGGCGUAAAGCGAGCGCAGGCGGUCUUUUAAGUCUAAUGUGAAAGCCUUCGGCUCAACCGAAGAAGUGCAUUGGAAACUGGGAGACUUGAGUGCAGAAGAGGACAGUGGAACUCCAUGUGUAGCGGUGAAAUGCGUAGAUAUAUGGAAGAACACCAGUGGCGAAGGCGGCUGUCUGGUCUGCAACUGACGCUGAGGCUCGAAAGCAUGGGUAGCGAACAGGAUUAGAUACCCUGGUAGUCCAUGCCGUAACGAUGAUUACUAAGUGUUGGAGGGUUUCCGCCCUUCAGUGCUGCAGCUAACGCAUUAAGUAAUCCGCUGGGGGAGUACGACCGCAAGGUGAAACUC